AAAAAAAAAAAAAAAAAGGGCCCAAAAAUUUUGGGGUGGCCGGCCAACCACAUGGCCCAAGCCCACUUUUAAAGUAAAACCCAUGUAUAUUAAAGGAAGGGGGGCCAUUUAUUCUUCAUUUUAGAAGAACUUUCAAGAACACAAAAAUUAGAGCAAAAAAGAGAGGGGCAUUCGGCUACAAGAAAGAAAGAAAAAAAAAAUUGUUGCCCACAAAUCUUUGAUGCAAAAACUAAAUUCUUCUUGAAUUUCCACUAAGUUGGAAACCCUCUUCAAGGUGAUACAAAUUUGGAAGCAAAAGAGUACUUUUUUUACAAAGUGAAGAAUUUGGAAAAGAUAUUGGAGAGCCCGAGACCUGAGUCGGGAUUCGUUUGGCGAGUGAUCGAGAUUUGGUAGUGAGCGAUCGAGGUACGGACGUUCAUUUUGGUGAUUCCCCAGUAUAGGAUACAUACUCUGCCACUUGGAUUACUUCUUUUGAUUCGGAGCUCAUACUUUUGGUACAUAUCUUCUGCUACACAUAUUCUGUAUAUAUAUGACUAUUUGGGUACGGCGGGGCCCUGUCCCGACAUAUGCUUCUGUUAUGUUUUGUAGAGGUCUGUAGUCAUAUAUGUGGGUCAUGGGUCAUGUUUGUUCGUUUGUGAUUAUGAUUUCGUCUUAGUGCGGCCCCGUUUACUAUUAUGGCCAAAACGGCCCAUUUGUCUGUAUAUGUGUGUAUAUUUGGCGAUGUGUAUUCCGCCAAUCUAUCGGAUUUAGAUAUGAUGUUUUUGUACGGGCGACUGCUUAAAAUGAUACUUGUUUUCAGCAUUUGCUUAAAUGACGUAGGUUCAGUUUGAAUAAAAUUUUGAUAUGUCGAUCUGGUACGUAAGUCUGUUUGAGUGUCCAAAUAGGGCACCAGUCGCGGCCCACGGGGCUGGGUCGUGACAGAAAGAUUUCGGAUUAAUACUUGAAUGUGAAAUCAUUGGUGCUAGCUUGAAUAUAUGUGAUUAAAUUGAAUGUAAAUGAAAUGCCGUGAAUUGUGUGACAAGAGUUAUUGAUGUUAGAAUAUGUUUUGGGAUUGAUUGUUGAAGUUGUUAGUAUGAUUGUUGGUAAUGUUGUUAAUAAUUUGGCCGAGUUAAUUUCUCGGAUUUGUUGUUGUAUUUUGGUCGAGUUGAAUUCUCGGGGAUGGUGUAUUUACAGGGGAAAUGCUGCCGAAAUUUCGGUAGAUUAUAAACAAGUUUACUUGAAAGACUAAGAUAAGUGUGCGACAGUAUGUCUAAUGAUUAUGUAAAUCUCCUUGAAUGUAAACUAACGAGCUUGGACGAAUAAACGUAGCUAAUAGGACGUGGAGCAAGUAUGUAAGGCUUACCCGUUCUUUCUUUGGCAUGAUCUUUAUGAAACAAAUAUAUGAUGUAUAUGCAUGAUUUUAAAGAAAUUUCUAUUCUUAGAGAGCCACUAGGAUGGCUAACGUCUUUGAUUUCCAUAAGCUGUUCCAUAUGGUUAAUGCGUAUUUAUGAUGUCCGAAGUUCAGUUUGAUAUGUGUUCAAAUGGCAUUCGAAAGAUAAUUGAUAUGACUAAGGUUUUGAUCUCCAAUUGCUAGAACGUUCGAUUAUUCCGUUAAGUCUUUGAUACAUUUCGAUAUAUAUAUAUAUAUAUAUGAUUCCAAAAGUUAUAUUUGAUUUGAUCCAUGCGAUAUCCGAAAGAUACUUGAUACGAUUGUUGCUUCGAUUUUCCAAAAAUGACUUCUGAAAUGUUCGUAAAGGUUCUGUGGUAAAAACAUCCGUAACUUUCAUAUAUUAACUCCGAUUGGUUUGAAACUUGUUUCUGAGCCUUCAGGUGUCGGCAAGUAUAUUUACCUAUUGAGUCUUGAUUAUAUGCAUACAGUUUCUCACUAUUCUGCUCGUGCAUGUGCUAUUACCUCUUUUGCCGGGUCCCGGGGCGGUAUAUUUCGUGUGCAUGGUUCGUCGGGUCCCUUGCUUGAGGGCCAAGUACCAUAUAUGAAUUCUGGAGUAUGAUGUGCUAACGGUGUUAUGAUGUGUUCAUGGUUCGCCGAACCAAAUAUGUGUAUAUGUAUAUUCUGAUCUUAUGAUGUGAUAUUAUGAUGUGUGACGGAGAUUACGGAGCAAAUCUUCUGGAGUAUGAUGUGUGUGGCGCCAAAGGCAGGGUGGCGCCACGUUCCCCAGGUCCCGUAAGGGGCCGGAUACCGUUCCUGGCAUGCAUAAUUCGUGUUUCCAGUAAGUUAUUUUUAUUAUUCUGCAUAUCAUGCUUAUUGUCUGUACUAACCUUUUGCGCAUGCCAGAGCAAUAUAAUAUGUGUAUAUGGAUCGGGCUGCACGUUCCGUAGCAAAUACAUUCGUGGAUCGGGCCGAACGUUCCUCGGCACUAAUAUGUUAUAUAUAUGGAUCGGGCCGUACGUUCCUCGGCACUAUUCUGUUACAUAUGAUCUGUUAUGUGUGUAUGUGUGUGAUGACAUACGAUGUUGGCACGCGCAGUCGAUGUUUGGAAAAUACACAUUUUGGCACUCUGGAUGACCUACUUACUUUUUGUACUUCUUCUGACAUAUGGCAUCGGUAUAUACGAUUUGCAUUCUGAAAAAUAAGUAUUUUGGUAUUCUGAAAGUGUACUUACUUUUGUACCGUUUCUUUCGAUUAUGAUUUUGUUUUCUGUAUUCCAUGCUUUACAUAUUCAGUACAUAUUCCGUACUGACCCCCUGUUCUUCGGGGGCUGCGUUUCAUGCCACGCAGGUACACCCAGUUGAGCAAAGGACAUUGUUAGAAGAUGCUUCAACUGGAUUGGCGAGCUCCACUUCCUUUGGAGUGUUGCCGAGUCGGAGUUUGUAUGAUAUGAUUUCUGAUCGGAGUUAGAGACUUUGCAGACAGAGUCGUGGGUAUAGAAUGUUAGUUUUGUAAGCGGCUUUAUCAGCCGAUGUGUCAUUUUAUGUUAUGUUACAAAUUUCGUGUGAUUACAGAUUUGACUUGUUUCUGAAAGUUUCCAAAAGCAUUUAUUACGUUUGUCAUUUCACUAAUUAAGAGUUCAAAAGAUUAUGUAUGUAACAAGAGUCAGAGGGUUCGCUCGGCCCUAAGUAAGGGUCGG